rnacentral:rRNA from 1 species
AGGGAAUCUUCGGCAAUGGGGGCAACCCUGACCGAGCAACGCUGCGUGAGUGAAGAAGGUUUUCGGAUCGUAAAGCUCUGUUGUAAGUCAAGAACGAGUGUGAGAGUGGAAAGUUCACACUGUGACGGUAGCUUACCAGAAAGGGACGGCUAACUACGUGCCAGCAGCCGCGGUAAUACGUAGGUCCCGAGCGUUGUCCGGAUUUAUUGGGCGUAAAGCGAGCGCAGGCGGUUUGAUAAGUCUGAAGUUAAAGGCUGUGGCUCAACCAUAGUUCGCUUUGGAAACUGUCAAACUUGAGUGCAGAAGGGGAGAGUGGAAUUCCAUGUGUAGCGGUGAAAUGCGUAGAUAUAUGGAGGAACACCGGUGGCGAAAGCGGCUCUCUGGUCUGUAACUGACGCUGAGGCUCGAAAGCGUGGGGAGCGAACAGGAUUAGAUACCCUGGUAGUCCACGCCGUAAACGAUGAGUGCUAGGUGUUGGAUCCUUUCCGGGAUUCAGUGCCGCAGCUAACGCAUUAAGCACUCCGCCUGGGGAGUACGACCGCAAGGUUG